rnacentral:rRNA from 1 species
AAUUUUGGACAAUGGGCGCAAGCCUGAUCCAGCCAUGCCGCGUGAGUGAAGAAGGCUUUCGGGUUGUAAAGCUCUUUCGGACGGAAAGAAAUCGCGCAGGCUAAUACCCCCCGCGGAUGACGGUACCGUCAUAAGCAGCCCCGGCCAACGCAGUGCAAGAGGCCGUGGUAAUACGUAGGGUGCGAGCGUUAAUCGGAAUUACUGGGGGUAAAGCGUGCGGAGGCGGUUGAAUAAAACAGGCGUGAAAUCCCCGGGCUUAACCUGGGAACUGCGCUUGUGACUGGUCAGCUAGAGUACGGCAGAGGGGGGUGGAAUUCCACGUGUAGCAGUGAAAUGCGUCGAGAUGUGGAGGAACACCGAUGGCGAAGGCAGCCCCCUGGGCCGAUACUGACGCUCAUGCACGAAAGCGUGGGUAGCAAACAGG